AUACAGAGGGUGCGAGCGUUAAUCGGAAUUACUGGGCGUAAAGCGCGCGUAGUCGGUCUAUUAAGUCAGAUGUGAAAUCCCAGGGCUCAACCUUGGAACUGCAUCUGAUACUGAUAGACUAGAGUUUUGGAGAGGGAAGUAGAAUUUCAGGUGUAGCGGUGAAAUGCAUAGAGAUCUGAAGGAAUACCAGUGGCGAAGGCGACUUCCUGGCCAAAAACUGACGCUGAGGUGCGAAAGCGUGGGUAGCAAACGGGAUUAGAUACCCUAGUAGUCC
rnacentral:rRNA from 1 species